UACCAGCACCCCCGAGUGGUCGGGACGAUUAUUGGGCCUAAAGCAUCCGUAGCCGGUCCUACAAGUCUUCCGUUAAAUCCACCUGCUUAACAGAUGGGCUGCGGAGGAUACUAUAGGGCUAGGAGGCGGGAGAGGCAAGCGGUACUCAGUGGGUAGGGGUAAAAUCCUCUGAUCCAUUGAAGACCACCAGUGGCGAAGGCGGCUUGCCAGAACGCGCUCGACGGUGAGGGAUGAAAGCUGGGGGAGCAAACCGG
rnacentral:rRNA from 1 species